rnacentral:misc_RNA from 1 species
UAUACAACCUACUACCUCUCU